rnacentral:rRNA from 1 species
GACGAACGCUGGCGGCGUGCUUAACACAUGCAAGUCGAACGGAAAGGCCUGCUUUCCCUUGUGGAUUGCGGGUACUCGAGUGGCGAACGGGUGAGUAACACGUGAGUGAUCUGCCCCCAACUUGGGUAUAAGCCUGGGAAACUGGGUCUAAUUCCCGAUAGGACUGCAGGGUGGUGCCUGUGGUGGAAAACGAUUUUCUAGUGGUUGGGGAUGAGCUCGCGGCCUAUCAGCUUGUUGGUGGGGUAAUGGCCUACCAAGGCGGCGACGGGUAGCCGGCCUGAGAGGGGGGACGGGCACAUUGGGACUGAGAUACGGCCCAGACUCCUACGGGAGGCAGCAGUGGGGAAUAGUGCACAAUGGGCGGAAGCCUGAUGCAGCGACGCCGCGUGGGGGAUGACGGCCUUCGGGUGGUAAACUCCUUUCGACCGCGAGGAAGCCACCUGGUUGGAAGGGUGGUGACGGUAGUGGUAGAAGAAGCACCGGCUAACUACGUG